rnacentral:rRNA from 1 species
UGAGGAAUACCGGCGAGAAAUCGCCGACAAGACCGCAUAGGCUUCUCUGGCCGAGAGGUGGGAGAAGCAAAGUCCGGGUCGCAAGACCCCGACGCUCUGGGAGGAGCCUGCGCCCGAUUAGCUGGUUGGUGGGGUAACGGCCUACCAAGGCGACGAUCGGUAGCUGGUCUCAGAGGAUGAUCAGCCAGACUGGGACUGAGAGACGGCCCAG